rnacentral:rRNA from 1 species
UCUGGUGGCAAUAGCAAAGAGGUCACACCUGUUCCCAUGCCGAACACAGAAGUCAAGCUCUUUAGCGCCGAUGGUAGUCGGACUAACGUUCCGCUAGAGUAGGACGUUGCCAGGC